CCUGGUGGUUUGAGCGGGGUGGUACCACCCGUUCCCAUCCCGAACACGGAAGUGAAACGCCCCAGCGCGGAGGAUACUGAGGGGUUUCCCCUUGUGGAAAAUAAGUCACUGCCAGGA
rnacentral:rRNA from 1 species